UACGUAGGGUGCGAGCGUUAAUCGGAAUUACUGGGCGUAAAGGGUGCGCAGGCGGUUAUUUAAGACAGAUGUGAAAUCCCCGGGCUCAACCUGGGAACUGCGUUUGUGACUGUAUGACUAGAGUACGGUAGAGGCAGAUGGAAUUCCGGGUGUAGCGGUGGAAUGCGUAGAGAUCCGGAAGAACACCGGUGGCGAAGGCGGUCUGCUGGGCCAAGACUGACGCUGAGGCGCGACAGCGUGGGGAGCAAACAGG
rnacentral:rRNA from 1 species